rnacentral:rRNA from 1 species
AGUGAACGCUGGCGGUAGGCCUAACACAUGCAAGUCGAACGGCAGCACAGUAAGAGCUUGCUCUUACGGGUGGCGAGUGGCGGACGGGUGAGGAAUACAUCGGAAUCUACUUUUUCGUGGGGGAUAACGUAGGGAAACUUACGCUAAUACCGCAUACGACCUACGGGUGAAAGCAGGGGAUCUUCGGACCUUGCGCGAUUGAAUGAGCCGAUGUCGGAUUAGCUAGUUGGCGGGGUAAAGGCCCACCAAGGCGACGAUCCGUAGCCGGUCUGAGAGGAUGAUCAGCCACACUGGAACUGAGACACGGUCCAGACUCCUACGGGAGGCAGCAGUGGGGAAUAUGGGACAAUGGGCGCAAGCCUGAUCCAGCCAUACCGCGUGGGUGAAGAAGGCCUUCGGGUUGUAAAGCCCUUUUGUUGGGAAAGAAAAGCAGCAGGUUAAUACCCCGCUGUUCUGACGGUACCCAAAGAAUAAGCACCGGCUAACUUCGUG